AACGAACACUGGCGGCAUGCCUAAUACAUGCAAGUCGAACGAGAUCUUCGGAUCUAGUGGCGCACGGGUGCGUAACGCGUGGGAAUCUGCCCUUGGGUUCGGAAUAACUUCUGGAAACGGAAGCUAAUACCGGAUGAUGACGUAAGUCCAAAGAUUUAUCGCCCAAGGAUGAGCCCGCGUAGGAUUAGCUAGUUGGUGGGGUAAAGGCCCACCAAGGCGACGAUCCUUAGCUGGUCUGAGAGGAUGAUCAGCCACACUGGGACUGAGACACGGCCCAGACUCCUACGGGAGGCAGCAGUAGGGAAUAUUGGACAAUGGGCGAAAGCCUGAUCCAGCAAUGCCGCGUGAGUGAUGAAGGCCUUAGGGUUGUAAAGCUCUUUUACCCGGGAUGAUAAUGACAGUACCGGGAGAAUAAGCUCCGGCUAACUCCGUGCCAGCAGCCGCGGUAAUAC
rnacentral:rRNA from 1 species